rnacentral:rRNA from 1 species
AGGGAUUGCCCUAGUAACGGCGAGUGAAGCGGCAACAGCUCAAAUUUGAAAUCUGGCCUCGGCCCGAGUUGUAAUUUGCAGAGGAUGUUUCUGGCGCGGUGCCUUCCGAGUUCCCUGGAACGGGACGCCACAGAGGGUGAGAGCCCCGUAUGGUUGGACACCAAGCCUGUGUGAAACUCCUUCGACGAGUCGAGUAGUUUGGGAAUGCUGCUCUAAAUGGGAGGUAAAUCUCUUCUAAAGCUAAAUACCGGCCAGAGACCGAUAGCGCACAAGUAGAGUGAUCGAAAGAUGAAAAGCACCUUGAAAAGGGGGUUAAACAGUACGUGAAAUUGUUGAAAGGGAAGCGCUCAUGACCAGACUUGUGCCGGGCGGUUCAUCCGGGGUUCUCCCCGGUGCACUCCGCCCGGUUCAGGCCAGCAUCGGUUCUCGUUGGGGGAUAAGAACGGUAGGAACGUGGCCCUCCCUCGGGAGGGUGUUAUAGCCUGCCGUACGAUACCCUGAUGGGGACCGAGGUUCGCGCUCCGCAAGGAUGCUGGCGUAA